rnacentral:rRNA from 1 species
GACGAACGCUGGCGGCGUGCCUAAUACAUGCAAGUCGAGCGAAUCUUAAGGUGCUUGCACCUUUUGGUUAGCGGCGGACGGGUUAGUAACACGUGGGCAACCUGCCUGUAAGACUGGGAUAACUUCGGGAAACCGGAGCUAAUACCGGAUAAUCCUUUUCCUCUCAUGAGGAAAAGCUGAGAGUCGGUUUCGGCUGACACUUACAGAUGGGCCCGCGGCGCAUUAGCUAGUUGGUGAGGUAACGGCUCACCAAGGCGACGAUGCGUAGCCGACCUGAGAGGGUGAUCGGCCACACUGGGACUGAGACACGGCCCAGACUCCUACGGGAGGCAGCAUG